rnacentral:rRNA from 1 species
AGUCGAGCGGUAACACGAGGGUGCUUGACCCCGCUGACGAGCGGCGGACGGGUGAGUAAUGCAUAGGAAACUGCCCAGUAGUGGGGGAUAGCCCGGGGAAACCCGGAUUAAUACCGCGUACGCCCUUCGGGGGAAAGCAGGGGGAUCUUCGGACCUUGCGCUAUUGGAUGUGCCUAUGUCGGAUUAGCUAGUUGGUGCGGUAAAGGCCUACCAAGGCGACGAUCCGUAGCUGGUCUGAGAGGAUGAUCAGCCACAUCGGGACUGAGACACGGCCCGAACUCCUACGGGAGGCAGCAGUGGGGAAUAUUGGACAAUGGGGGCAACCCUGAUCCAGCCAUGCCGCGUGUGUGAAGAAGGCUUUCGGGUUGUAAAGCACUUUCAGUGAGGAGGAAAACUCUGCGACUAAUACUCGUAGGGCUUGACGUUACUCACAGAAGAAGCACCGGCUAACUCCGUGCCAGCAGCCGCGGUAAUACGGAGGGUGCAAGCGUUAAUCGGAAUUACUGGGCGUAAAGCGCGCGUAGGUGGUUUGAUAAGCGAGAUGUGAAAGCCCCGGGCUUAACCUGGGAACGGCAUUUCGAACUGUCAGGCUAGAGUAUGGUAGA